AUACGGAGGAUGCAAGCGUUAUCCGGAUUUAUUGGGUUUAAAGGGUGCGUAGGCGGUUUGCUAAGCGGGAGGUGAAAUGCCGGCGCUCAACGUCGGAAGUGCCUCCCGAACUGGUGGACUUGAAUGACUCUGCCGUGGGAGGAAUGUGUAGUGUAGCGGUGAAAUGCUUAGAGAUUACACAGAACACCGAUUGCGAAGGCAUCUCACGAAGAGUUGGUUGUCGCUGAGGCACGAAAGCGUGGGGAUCAAACAGGAUUAGAUACCCUGGUAGUCCACGCAGUAAACGAUGAUGGCUAACCGCUGGUUUAUUCGGAUCAGUGGCCAAGCGAAAGCGAUAAGCCAUCCACCUGGGGAGUACGACCGCAAGGUUGAAACUCAAAUGAAUUGACGGGG
rnacentral:rRNA from 1 species